rnacentral:rRNA from 1 species
UUACUUAUUUUAAAAGUUAAUGUAUAUACAUACGCACGCACGCAUGUAUAUAUACGUUUACAUUUAUAUUUUAAUAUUAUGCUUUUAGCGAGUGAUUUAUAGAUAUGAGCAUUUUUUAAUAUUUUACGAAAUCAGAUAAACAAUUUAAUGGCAAACAAAUAAAUACCCGGGGUAAUGGCCGAGUGGUUAAGGCGAUAGACUGUAAAUCUAUUGGGAAACCGUCGUUGGUUCGAAUCCAGCUUACCUCAAAAAAAAUGUUGUAUAUUUUAGUAAAUUAGUGUACAUACAUUGAUUGAACUGGGCGACCUUGCUCAAAGCUUAUAAAAUCAACUCCUUGAUAGAGAAAAGUACCGCGAGGGAAAGGUGAAAAGAAGUAUAAUUACUAUGAAAAGUUUCUGAAUUUUAAUGCUAAAUACGAAUAUAGCGUUUUGUUAUAUUGUACCUUUUGUAUAAUGGGUUGGCGAGUAAAAAUAUCUAGCAAGCGCAAGCAUAAAGAAAUUAAAAUAGUUAGAUGUUUUUGACCCGAAGCUAAGCGAUCUAGUAAUGAGCAAGUUGAAGGGAAACUGGAAGACUGAACCCAUAAAUGUUGCAAAAUUUUGGGAUGACUUGUUACUAGGGGUGAAAGGCUUAUCAAGCUUAGUGAUAGCUGGUUCUCCGCGAAACCUAUCUAAGUAGGGAAGUUUUUAUUUAAUAUAACGGGUAGAGUAAUUUCCAUCGGUUGGGGGAAAACCUUCGAAUAGUUAUAUUAUUUUUAAAAUAAUCAGACUAUGGGCGCUAAGGUCCGUAGUCGAGAGGGAAACAGCCCAGAUUGUUAAAUAAAGUUGUUAAUUACUGUUCAUUCUAAGAUUGGUGCGAAAAGACAUAAGAGGUAGGAUUGGAAGCGUCCAUCCUUUUAAGAAAGCGUAAAAGCUCAAUAUGUUGAUGAAUUGCUUUGUUUAAAGUAGUUUAACAAACCCCGAUUAUGAAUUUAAAGCAAUAUAUACAGUAAACUGAAUUUACAAUAGUAUUUUUAAUACUAGGUAGCGGAGCGAAUACUAUAACAUUGAAGUAAAAAUGUGAAUUUUUAUGGAGUUAUGUAUUUUGAUUAUGCCAACAUGAGUAAUAAACAACUGGUUAAAAUCCAGUUCGCCUAAUGUCAUAUGGUUUUUACGUUAUGAUAAACUUACGUAAAAAUAUUCGGUCUCUAAGUAUUUCACAUUGGUGAUAUAUGAUGGGUUUUUAUUUAACACUUUUUAUGAGUUUAAUUUGAAAACAAAUUAUUUUUAUAAAAAGUCUGGAAAAAAAUAAAAAAAAACCGUACAAAAACUAACACAAGUUGACUGGCUGAGUAAGCUACGGCGAAAGGGUUAACAAUACUAAAGGAACUCGGCAAAAUUACUUUGUAACUUCGGGAUAAAAAGUGUCGAAAGAUUAAGAAAAGAGGGGGUAGCGACUGUUUAAUAAAAACACAAGACUUUGCUAAGUAGAAAUACAAAGUAUAAAGUCUGACACCUGCCCAGUGCUGCAAGGUGAAAAAAAUUAAUUAACGUUAAUUUUAUAAACCCCAGUAAACGGCGGCCGUAACCCUGACGGUCCUAAGGUAGCAAAAUCCCUUGACGGGUAAGUUCCGUCCUGCACGAGUGGUGUAACGACUGCCCCACUGUCUCUAGUAUUGCCCCUAUGAAAUUGAAGUUAUUGUGAAGAUGCGAUAAAAUACAGCUAGACGGAGAGACCCUAUGCACCUUUACUGUUAUCAAAUAUUAAAAUAAAAAAUAAUUAAUAUAGCUAUGUAGGUGCUUUUGCUGGAUGGAAAACUACUUUAAUUAUUUUUAAUUUUUAUCAAGAUUAUUGAUUUGUUUGAAAGACAGUUUGACUGGGGCGGUCGCCUCCAAAAGAGUAACGGAGGUGAACAUAAGAUCUAAUUUAUGCGAAAGCAAGGAUUUUAAAUGAAUUUUGAUUAGGUUUGAUUUUUAUACCUACAAGUAUAAAAAGGGCGCAAGCCUGUCAUAAUGACCCGGUAAUACCAUAAGGAAGUGUUAUCGAUUAACGAAUAAAAGGUACGCUAGGGAUAACAGGCUGAUGUUUUCUGAGAGUCCCCAUUGAAGAAGACGUUUGGCACCUCGAUGUCGGCUCAUCAUAUCCUGGUGGUGCAUACGCUGCCAAGGGUUCGGCUGUUCGCCGAUUAAAAUGGUACGUGAGCUGGGUUUAAAACGUCGUGAGACAGUUUGGUCCCUAUCUACUGUAUAAAAAGAAUAGCAACUUGAUUUUACCUCAGUACGAGAGGACCGGGGACAUGAAGCCAAUUGUUUAGCAAUUAUUAAAAGUAAGUUGCAAAGCUACGCUUAUAGUUUGUAAUCGACUUUGUCGGGAACGGCUAAAGUUUGUUAUUCUAAUAGAAGAUUUUUAAAAAAAAAAUAUUUGUAACGUAAUAGUUUAAAAACAGUAAUGUUUUAGCUAAACUGUUAAAUUUACUAAAGCGGCUGUCUGUUUAAUCUGCGAACCGCUCAGAGGGUCUAGUUGG